CUGCAUCAUUAAUCUGGAGUGGUGGAUUGAGAUGUUUUUGCUCAUUAGCGAGUUAGUUCGGGAAGCCAACAACAACAACAACAACCUGUUGCUUCUGGUUUCACCGUACCUCGAAUGGGAGGACAGACUGGAGGAAGGCCGGUUUACCAAAUCGCCCAAGAGCAGUUGCAGAUGUUGUUGUCCUUUAACUUCUCUGCUAAACAGAUUGCGGAGAUCAUGGGUGUCUCAAGAAGAACAGUGAACCGACGUUUAAGACAGCACAAUUUCAUCUUUUACAGACCAGAUGAUGCACUUGAUCUGAAGGUGCUGCUAUUCGGAGUAUGUCCCACAGGCUUCGGAGGAGAACACAUCGAGUGGCAGGGUCAAAUUUGCUGUGGCAUCUUGAUCGCAACCACAAGCUCUUAAAGCGGAGGAUUGUAAUCCAUGGAGGAAUCGAUGGGUUCAGCCGACUGGUUGUUUUCCUGAAGGCUUCUAACAACAACAGAAGUGACGUUGUAAUGGACCUGUUUUCGGAAGCAGUCGCCCAGUUUGGUGUCCCAUCCAGAGUCAGAUCUGACUAUGGAGGGGAAAACAACGCCAUUUGUCUCCUCAUGGAUGUCUUCCGAGGAUCAACCCGAGGGAGCACUCAUAAUCAACGCAUUGAAAGACUGUGGGGCAAUGUCUGGAGAGGCGUGACAAAAAAAACGCAGAGUCCUACGUAGUGUAGUCAGGUCGGCUGAGUUUAUCAUCGACAGGAAGCUCCCAGCCCUACAGGACACCUACCACACACGAUGCCUCAGGAAA